rnacentral:rRNA from 1 species
GACGAACGCUGGCGGCGUGCUUAACACAUGCAAGUCGAACGGAAAGGCCCUGCUUUUGUGGGGUGCUCGAGUGGCGAACGGGUGAGUAACACGUGAGUAACCUGCCCUUGACUUUGGGAUAACUUCAGGAAACUGGGGCUAAUACCGGAUAGGAGCUCCUGCUGCAUGGUGGGGGUUGGAAAGUUUCGGCGGUUGGGGAUGGACUCGCGGCUUAUCAGCUUGUUGGUGGGGUAGUGGCUUACCAAGGGUUUGACGGGUAGCCGGCCUGAGAGGGUGACCGGCCACAUUGGGACUGAGGUACGGCCCAGACUCCUACGGGAGGCAGCAGUGGGGAAUAUUGCACAAUGGGCGGAAGCCUGAGGCAGCAACGCCGCGUGCGGGAUGACGGCCUUUGGGUUGUAAACCGCUUUCGCCUGUGACGAAGCGUGAGUGACGGUAAUGGGUAAAGAAGCACCGGCUAACUACGUG